rnacentral:rRNA from 1 species
GAUGAACGCUAGCGGCAGGCUUAAUACAUGCAAGUCGAACGGUAAGGUUUCUUCGGAAACACACGAGUGGCGCACGGGUGCGUAACGCGUAUGCAACCUACCUUUAACUGGGAGAUAGCCCCGAGAAAUCGGGAAUAAUACCCCAUAAUAUUCAGAGGACACCUGUUUUUUGAAUCAAAGUUCCGGCGGUUAAAGAUGGGCAUGCGUGGCAUUAGCUAGUUGGUAAGGUAACGGCUUACCAAGGCUAUGAUGCCUAGGGGGUUCUGAGAGGAUAAACCCCCA